GAAGGUAUAACUCAGUGAUAAAAGUGCAUGCCUAGCAUGCACAAGAUCCUGGGUUCAAUCCCCAGUACCUCCA
rnacentral:tRNA from 1 species